AGAGUUUGAUCAUGGCUCAGAAUGAACGCUGGCGGCGUGCUUAACACAUGCAAGUCGUGCGCGAAGGUGGCUUCGGCCACCGGAGAGCGGCGAACGGGUGAGUAACACGUGGGUGAUCUGCCUGGGAGCGGGGGAUAACCUGGGGAAACUCGGGCUAAUACCGCAUACGUUGAUCUGGUUACGGCCAGGUCAGGAAAGCUGGCCUCUAUUUAUAAGCUAGCGCUCGCAGAGGAGCCCGCGGCUGAUUAGCUAGUUGGUAGGGUAAUGGCCUACCAAGGCGACGACCAGUAGCCGGCCUGAGAGGGUGAUCGGCCACACUGGGACUGAGACACGGCCCAGACUCCUACGGGAGGCAGCAGUGGGGAAUAUUGGACAAUGGGCGCAAGCCUGAUCCAGCAACGCCGCGUGGAGGACGAAGGUCUUCGGAUCGUAAACUCCUGUCAGGCGGGACGAAGGCUUCCGGGCAAAUAGUCCGGAAGCUUGACGGUACUGCCAGAGGAAGCCCCGGCUAACUCCGUGCCAGCAGCCGCGGUA
rnacentral:rRNA from 1 species